GCAGGGUGUGGUGGCGCAUGCCUGUAGUCCCAGCUACUCAGGAGGCUGAGGCAGGAGAAUCGCUUGAACCCAGGAGGCAGAGGUUGCGGUGAGCUGAGAUCGUGCCACUGCACUUCAGCCCGGGGGACAGAAUGAGACUCUGUUUAAAAAAAAAAAAAAAAAAAAAAAUUUCAGUCUAGUGUCAAUUAGACGUACAUUGCUGAGGUAUUUUAUCUAUUGCAGAUUUUUUUCCCCUUUUUAUUGCAUCAGGCAUAUUGCCCUGUAAAUUGUGGUAGUGAUACCAGGAAUAAAAUAUUAAAUAAUUUUAUUGGAAGCAGAGGAUCGCCAAGUUGACUGAGGAGGGGUAAACUGGCCCAGGUUGGAAACAGAGCAGGUGAAAAUUCUCAUGCUGGUUAGUAGUGGAGUCACACCUGUGAGUAGCCACUGCACUUUAUCCUGGGCAGCAAGACCCUGUCUCUA
rnacentral:SRP_RNA from 1 species